GACGAACGCUGGCGGCGUGCUUAACACAUGCAAGUCGAGCGAGUGGAUUCCCUUCGGGGAUGAAGCUAGCGGCGGACGGGUGAGUAACACGUGGGCAACCUGCCUUAUAGAGGGGGAUAGCCUUCCGAAAGGAAGAUUAAUACCGCAUAACAUCAGAUUAUCGCAUGGUAGACUGAUCAAAGGAGCAAUCCGCUAUAAGAUGGGCCUGCGUGGAAUUAGCGAGUUGUUGAGGUAACGGCUCACCAAGGCGACGAUGCGUAGCCGACCUGAGAGGGUGAUCGGCCACAUUGGGACUGAGACACGGCCCAGACUCCUACGGGAGGCAGCAGUGGGGAAUAUUGCACAAUGGGGGAAACCCUGAUGCAGCAACGCCGCGUGAGUGAUGAAGGCCUUCGGGUUGUAAAGCUCUUUGAUCAGGGACGAUAAUGACGGUACCUGAAGAACAAGCCACGGCUAACUACGUGCCAGCCGCCGCCGUAAUAC
rnacentral:rRNA from 1 species